CCCACCUGACCCCUGCCGAACUCAGAAGUGAAACGCCGUAGCGCCGAUGGUAGUGUGGGGUCUCCCCAUGCGAGAGUAGGGAACUGCCAGGC
rnacentral:rRNA from 1 species